CCUACGGGUGGCAGCAGUGGGGAAUAUUGCACAAUGGGCGCAAGCCUGAUGCAGCCAUGCCGCGUGUGUGAAGAAGGCCUUCGGGUUGUAAAGCACUUUCAGCGGGGAGGAAGGCGGUGAGGUUAAUAACCUCAUCGAUUGACGUUACCCGCAGAAGAAGCACCGGCUAACUCCGUGCCAGCAGCCGCGGUAAUACGGAGGGUGCAAGCGUUAAUCGGAAUUACUGGGCGUAAAGCGCACGCAGGCGGUCUGUCAAGUCGGGUGUGAAAUCCCCGGGCUCAACCUGGGAACUGCAUUCGAAACUGGCAGGCUAGAGUCUUGUAGAGGGGGGUAGAAUUCCAGGUGUAGCGGUGAAAUGCGUAGAGAUCUGGAGGAAUACCGGUGGCGAAGGCGGCCCCCUGGACAAAGACUGACGCUCAGGUGCGAAAGCGUGGGGAGCAAACAGGAUUAGAUACCCCAGUAGUC
rnacentral:rRNA from 1 species